rnacentral:lncRNA from 1 species
UAUGGAUGUUCCCGGGGCCAGGGGUCAAAUCCGAGCAGCAGUUACCAACAAUGCAGCAUCCCUAACCCACUGUGCUGGGCCAGGGAUCACACCCGUGCCUCUGCAGCAACCCGAGCCGCUGCAGAGACAAUGCCGGCUCCCUCACCUUCCCCACCACAGCGGGAACUCCUGGAUGCACUAUUUCUAAACCAGUAGAAAAGGGGAGACGACAUAAUGUCACGUCCAUUGACGGAGGCCCAGGAACCAGUGUCUGGACUGCAACACAGCCGUCCGAGGCAGAGGGGACAACUUUGUGAACGUGGGAGGUUUCACACGCAACAUCACGUCCUCUCACCCAUGCAAAAAAAGCAAAGACGUGUGUCUUUUCAUAGGUAAACAUAUGUUCCUAAAGGCACAGAGAAAGCUCUAUGGUGUGCGUACAAAGCUUUGGGCAGGAGGGAGUGGGGCAUGAGGACACAAAGGGGGGGUUGUAGUUUCUAUUCGACGCACUUCUGUAUUAUUUGAAACUUGGCAUCAAGAAGUAUGUAAAUUUUCAGAGAGGGAAGAAAGGUCCGCAGAACAGUAAAAGUUCAUGGUCCAUUUUUCCAGACCGGGGAGACCCCCACUGAAAACAAAGCAGAAGUCGUGACUGUUCUUUUCCCUUUUUCCCAGCGCGUACGUAUAAUUUUAUCUCACUGAACCCUCUCGACAGGGAUCACUUCCUGUCCAACACCUGCAGCCCGCGAGCAUCACCCUUCGGCCAGGGCGGAAGCGGAUGCCCCCACAGCCUGGGCGAGAGGAGCAGCAUGCCUCCACCGCCCGGCCCCCCGCCGGCCUGGGGUCUGGAAAGGGGCCCCUCUGCCGCUCGCCUCCCCCAGUGAUGGAAGGGCGAUACGCCGCUCAUCUCUCCGGCGUCUUAUUCAUCACCCGAGUAACCUUGGCAACGACGGGGCAGCCGCAAGCAGCCUGACACAUUCAGCCGCCUCCAAAUGCUUUCCCCCGCGCUCACCCAGCCAGCCGGGGGCAAAGCCAGAUUUAGAGGCCUCCACGUUUAGGGACCCCUGGGGUGGCGGGGUGGCCUGCCAUGAACAUGUCCUCUCACCGGCCAGAAGCCACUCCCUCCAGGACAGACACUGCCAGAUGCUCAGGCACCUGGCUGGCGUUCCCCACAACUGCCUGCGGUAUGUUUGCCAUUUCCCAUCACAGCCCUGGAAGACCCUUCCCAGCCAAUCCCGUAGCCCCUCCCGUCCCGAAUGAAUCCCCCUCCCAAACAUCCCCCGUUCCUCCCGCCUUCUCCCAGCCAGGCCAGGGGCACCUCCAUCGCCUCUCGCUCCUGUUCAAGCCCACACGCCACGAGGUUGCAUUCCCUGCAUGCCAGGCAGCCAGCAAGCCACCUGGACAAAGUAGGAGCUCAGGGAAUCCACAGUCAGUGAAUCUACAGGGAACAGAGUGCCCCUGAGACCAGAAAGCUGAGGUUAUCGAUGGAAAGGGGAGCCCGGAAGAGACUGUUCUGAAACGCUCCCUGGGCUGAGAUAAAUAUCACCCCUGUUUAUGCCCCCUGAGGGUUUGUGGAGCCUCUUCUAUGAGGGGCCCAGCUCUGGAGCAUAACAGACCAGAAUCCUGCGCCCAGGAGCUCGCCGGCCGACAGAGAUGGGCCAGGAGGGCAGGAGGGCGGUGCUGGCCACCCCCGAGUCAGACGAUGAGAGAUUUCCACUCUAACAGCUAACGGGGACACGGGGGUUGGUGAUGGGGUCAGUGUCAGGGCGUGAGGAGGGUCACCGCAUUGCUGAGGGCGUCAGGCUGGGCCUGGCCACGCAGGAGCCACCAAGGUCUUGAGCAAGGGCCUGGCCCUGGGGCAGAGGCAGGUGUGGAACAGGUGGGAGGCGGCUGGCGCCGGGAUGCUGUGCAGAGAAGAUAAUGGCCAGGCUGCCCCGGGCACCAGAUCAGACGCCGAGGGGCCCUCUGUGCCUCUGGGCUCUUCAGGACCCAGGCGACCUUCUUUUUGGCCUUUCUGCAGGUGGGACCUGUGUCCUUCCCUGGGUGGGAUUUCACAGAGCAAUUUGGCGCUGUCCCAGACAAGAUCGCCAGCCCAGCAUCUCGGGCUGCUGCACCCCUGGAAACUGAGGGAGACGGGCAAAGGGAGCAGCUGCCUCAAGGCUGCAGCGAAUAACAACUCUCGCCACGCUCCCCGCUCCCAGAGACUACGCAGCAGGAACCAGGCUCUGUCUCCUGCACUACUUGGCCCAGUGCAAUUUACACGCAGGUGUCCACACUGCCUCUCAAGGUCAUCGGGCAACUGCGUAGCAUUGGGGUUUGCUUCAUUUCUUACCAACCCUGUGGCAAAUCCCUGGAGCCUUCCAAGAAGGCUUCAGCCCAGGCUCGGGGUCAGGGGCUCCCCUGCUAGGGCAGAGAGCAGGAUGGGGUGCGGUCUGUCCUCCAGUGUCGAGCAAACAGAAUGAGUCCACUCACUGGCACUGCGACCCCUCUUGUUUUAUGCAUUUAAAGAACGCCUCUGAAUCAUUAGAGAACUUUGAAAAAAUAGUAGAGAAAGAAAGAGAGAGAGAAAAAAAUCCAAACCCUAAUUCAGAUACGGGCCACUUGUCUCUCAAGUCCUCAGACACACUUCACCUUGACACAGGGGCAGCCUCGUCCACUUUAAGUUUCCGGGGCGAUAAAAUGAACCCCACGUCCAGAAACCCGAUCUGUCCUAUUGUGCGCAGCAGCCCAAAGGGGGACGGCGGGGGGGGCGAGGUUGGACCCCAAAGGGCAGAUCCCACAAUCCCCCUCGGCACAAAGGCUGCUGUCUGGGUGGACCAGGUGUAACCAGAGCCCCAAUUCCCACGCAGCUUAGGGCCUGGACGAGGCAGUGGGAGGUCAGCCAGCCUAGGACAGCCACUCACCACCGGCUUCACACAAUGGGGUUCCCAGGAGCACACGACACAAUCUUAAGACUUAACACUGAGCGAGGACCCCACAGAGGCUUCUGUUACAAUAAGGACACUGGAAGAGGCCAGCUACCUGGCUGGCAGAGCCCUGACCGUGCAGUCCCCAUGCCGCCCACUCCUUCGUCAUCCGUCCCUUGGCCAAGAGCAGCCUAAGGCCACCUGAAGUCGUCUCAGCCCCUCCACCCUGUGAACGCUCCGAACAAACAAGCAACAACAACAAACGGGGCACAGCAAAAUUUUCCCUAUAAAAACAUGCAAUUCUCUCAUCACUUCAAUCAAGAAGCAACAAUGGGGUUUUUUCCCCCCAAUUCUAAACUAAUACAUUCUUAUGUAACCAAACCAUCAGGUGUUUGAAAUCGGAGACACCCCCCCACACCCCUUUUCUCAUUUCUUUCUUUUUCUGCUUGCUCGCUUUUACUUUCAUAAAACAUAUGGGUCCCAAAGCUACAAUUUUCUGGGCUUUAAAAUCGCUGGACAUGACACACGAUCUUUGGUUGCUUUCAACGUUCCACCUACACACAUGCAAUCUGAAGGGAAGGCUUUUUCUAACACUGUUUUUGAGUCUAAGUAAAACCAAGUUCCUGGAUGAAAAAGACACAUGCUUUUUUCUAGCCUCAAAUUCUAUGCGUGUUCUGCAAAAGCGCUGCAAACAAUCUCAAGUCAUGACACCUUUUCAGGCUAUUCCUGCUCCUGGGUUCUUCUCAGCGUUCGGAGAAUGACUCUCUUUCAGUCUCAGGUUUGAGUAACUUCAACCAACUUCCCUCGUGUCUCCUGAAAAACGGGAGCCUCUCUGCCCAGAGGGAUCACACAAAAAGCCACUGUUCCUGAUUAAGUAGGUUUUUUUGUGUCUUUUUUUUGUUUGUUUUUUCCCCCAUCCAGAAAGCCUAUACUUUGCCUGUUCUGGACCUGAUUAGAAACGAUAAUACCUUCUCGAGUCUCUCAAGACUUGCUGUUAAUCUGGGAUAACCUCACCACCGAGGUCCUGGCCCAGGUACGCGCAGGCAGGCUGUCUGGGCUGGACUUUCUGGAACUUUCCUAAAACAGUGACUUCCAUGCACAGCCCCCCCCCCCCAAAAAAUCAGAUGGGCAGUAAAAUACAGGCAUUCCUCCGUUUUCUUUUGCUUUUUCACCCCGAUCCAGGGCAGUGCUCCUCCCCCUCCAUCUCCAGGAGGGGGGGACACGAGGCCGGCCCAGGCAGCUGAAUGCACAGGGCAGUGUUUAUGGCAGAGGCUGGGGGAAAAAGAGCAAAUUGUUUCCAAGCGAGAGCUCCCAUGUGCAGCUCUGCUUUAGAAAAAGGCUUUGCAUCUGGAGAAACUCAAGGGCUGCUGAAAGAAGGGCCAGCAGUUUAUCCGUUUAAAAUCUAUGGAAAGUUAAGCACAGACACCGGCAGCCUCCACUUGCCGUUUGAGGCAAGCCUAUUCGAUCUCCUCUUUUCCCUGGAAUAAAUAAAGGGACACAAAGGCAGCCUCUGCGCCUUUAAAAGGAAAGGAAAAAGUUGCCACAUUGAGACUUUGCAGGGCCAAGUUUCAGGGGGUGUCAAGGCAUCGAAUACCUUCAAAGGGCUAUAAACCAUUUCAGGGGGCUUCUCCUUCUUCUGGGAAAUGUAAUUAUCCUGGGGUGAGCAAGUGAAGUGAAAGGAAAGCAAGAAAGAGAGACAAGAAAAGAAAGAAAGGAAGGAAGGAAAAAAGGAAGGAAGGAAGGAAAGAGAAAGAGAGAAAGAAGGAAAGAGAGAAAGAAAGGAAGAGGAAGGAAGGAAGAAAGAAAGAAAGAAAGAAAGAAAGAAAGAAAGAAAGAAAGAAAAGAGAGAAGGAAAGAAAGAAGAAAGAAAAAGAGAGACAGAAAGGAAGAAAGAGAAAGAAAGAAAGGAAGAAAGAGAAAGAAAGAGAGGGCAAGGGAGCCGGGCAGUCUGACUUUUACCACUUCUCAUUCUGCCUGUAACUUGCAGGUCUUGGCUAUAACCACCCCUGCCUGACCUCACUCCAAAGGCUUUCCCCGCAGUUACUGCCUGAAUCUCCAUGCACAAAAACUGAACAAAAGUCCUGUUUUAUUUCAAGUGUAUCAUUCCAUUGCAACAUCCUAGACUUGUACAUGUGCCUUUUUUUCCCCACAUGAAGCUGGACUUAACACCUUCUGAGAGAAUAAUAAAUACACAAAUUAGACGAGGAAGGAUGCAGUCAGGAGACAAACGGGCCAAGCUGUAUUUAACAUUCACCCUUAUAGCUUCCGGAUUUACAGGCUCUGGUAAUCCCUCCAAAGCACUGAAUUCAAACACAUCCUGAGCCCGCAAAGAUUCUCGGCACCGUUUUCUUCUUCGUUGAAGAAGAUGCCUCUUCAUAAAGGGUCCGUCUUUCUGGAAUCACACACUCACUGCCAAUUCUGCUUCCCCAUUGAUACACCAGGAGUGAAACAGGUAAGCAGCGGUGCCAAGCUGACCCCCUUGCCAACUUUGAGCAAGCUGAAUGGACCGUCUGCGUUCUUGUGAAGUGAUCUGCCGGCAGGAGCUUAAAUACCCACGGCAGCAAACAAAUCCCCGAUUCCNNNNNNNNNNNNNNNNNNNNNACUCCCCAAUCCCAAAAAAAAAAAAAUCCCGGGGGGGGGGGGGGGGCUUCCACUUCAGAAAACUGCCCUUUUUCCUCUCUGCAGCCAAGGCGAAGCCGCACAUUAGCAGCCGCACUUUGCAAUGCAGCCAUGCAGCUUGCAGCCCCUGCUUUCAGAAACCAGACCUGCAGACUCCCAAGCACCCAUCACCACUACGAAUAAACGAGACCCCUGAAAAAGAGCGCUUAGCUUAAGAGCAGAAGCCCUGCCCGCCGUCCUCCCUCCCUUUCUAAGCAGGGCUGCCGACCCAGCUCAGUCUCCUUACCUCCCGGCUGGGCUCGGCGUAGGGCUCCCCUUCCCAGCUCCCUGCGAUCACUGCCUU